GUCCCUCCGUUCGGCGCCCUGUCCCCCGCUCCGCCUCGGCCGGCUCCCGCCGCUCCUCGCUCCCUCUCCCUUAGCAGCGCCUCGUCUCGCCUUCCGCUCCUUCUUCCCGGCGGGCUGGGGCUGCCUUUCCGCGUCGGCUUCCCCUUCAGCCUGGAGGCUCCCAAUAUGAACAGCAUCGUCUGCGCUGAGAGGCACCAGAUUAUGAUGCAUGAUUAUCACAGAAGAAAUUCAUGUCUAUAGCUCUUAAGGACUUUAUUACAUCAUCUUCAAGCCUGAUAGUUUUGGAAUCCAUAUUGCAGCUGCAAAGAUACAUCUGCUUUUCAAUUGCAACAAACAUCUUCCCUGUCAGAAGAUACCAAAACUGAAGUGCUCUGUUUUAACACAGUGAUACCAUUGGAUUAUUUGAAGAUCUCCCAGUGAAAAAUUUACAGUGAUACAUUUGCUAGCCAGACCAACACCAAAAUGAUUCCUAAUGGGUAUUUGAUGUUUGAAGAUGAAAACUUCAUUGAGUCAUCUGUUGCCAAACUAAAUGCCUUACGUAAAAGCGGUCAGUUCUGCGAUGUCCGUCUCCAGGUA